rnacentral:rRNA from 1 species
UACGAAGGGGGCUAGCGUUGUUCGGAAUUACUGGGCGUAAAGCGCACGUAGGCGGAUAUUUAAGUCAGGGGUGAAAUCCCAGAGCUCAACUUUGGAACUGCCUUUGAUACUGGGUAUCUCGAGUAUGGAAGAGGUGAGUGGAAUUCCGAGUGUAGAGGUGAAAUUCGUAGAUAUUCGCAAGAACGCCAGUGGCGAAGGCGGCUCACUGGCCCGAUACUGACGCUGAGGCACGAAAGCGUGGGGAGCAAACAGG